rnacentral:rRNA from 1 species
GUCUUAGUUUGAAGCUUCGGCCGAUUUCUAAGAUGGACAGCGGCGAAAGGGAGAGUAAUGAGUGGAUUACCUACCCCUAGGACCGGGAUAGCUGUGGGAAACCGCAGGUAACACCGGAUAAUAUCUCCGGAUCAAAUGGUGAGAUUCCGCCAGGGGAUGGGUCCGCUUCCUAUUAGCUUGUUGGUGGGGUAACGGCCUACCAAGGCAACAAUGGGUACCGGGUGUGAGAGCAUGGCCCGGCUCACUGGGACUGAGACACUGCCCAGACACCUACGGGUGGCUGCAGUCGAGAAUCUUCCGCAAUGGGCGAAAGCCUGACGGAGCGACGCCGCGUGCGGGAUGAAGGCCUUCGGGUUGUAAACCGCUGUCAGUUGGGAGGAAAUCUAUGGGGGUUAUCCCCCAUAGUUGACCUAUCUUCAGAGGAAGGACGGGCUAAGUUCGUGCCAGCAGCCGCGGUAAGACGAACCGUCCAAACGUUAUUCGGAAUCACUGGGCUUAAAGGGUGCGUAGGCGGCUUGGCAAGUUGGGUGUGAAAUCCCUCGGCUCAACCGAGGAACUGCGCUCAAAACUGCCAAGCUAGAGGAAGAUAGAGGUGAGCGGAACUAAUGGUGGAGCGGUGAAAUGCGUUGAUAUCAUUAGGAACACCUGU